GCGUAAUUGGUUUAGUGGUAAAAUUCUCCGUUGCCAUCAUAGCAAUGCUCGGGGAGCCCUGGGUUCGAUUCCCAGAUUACGCA